rnacentral:sRNA from 1 species
GCUGAGUGUGGUGGGGCAUGCCUGUAAUUCCAGUGACUUGGGAGGCUGAGGCAGGAAGAUAGCAAGUUCCAGGCCAAACUUGGCAACUUAGCAAGACCUUGUCUCAA